GACGAAGGGGGCUAGCGUUGUUCGGAAUUACUGGGCGUAAAGCGCGUGUAGGCGGUUGCCCAAGUCGGGUGUGAAAGCCUUGAGCUCAACUCAAGAAAUGCACUCGGUACUGGGUGACUAGAGGACCGGAGAGGAUAGUGGAAUUCCCAGUGUAGUGGUGAAAUACGUAGAGAUUGGGAAGAACAGCCAGUGGCGAAGCGGCUAUCUGGACGGUUUCUGACGCUAAGACGCGAAAGCGUGGGGAGCAAACAG
rnacentral:rRNA from 1 species